rnacentral:rRNA from 1 species
GUUGUAAUCUGUAGAGGAUGUUUCUGGCAAGGCGCCGUCCGAGUUCCCUGGAACGGGACGCCGGAGAGGGUGAGAGCCCCGUACAGGCGGACGCCGAGCCUCUGUGAAACUCCUUCGACGAGUCGAGUAGUUUGGGAAUGCUGCUCAAAGCGGGAGGUAAAUUUCUUCUAAAGCUAAAUAUAGGCCAGAGACCGAUAGCGCACAAGUAGAGUGAUCGAAAGAUGAAAAGCACUUUGAAAAGAGGGUUAAAAAGCACGUGAAAUUGUUGAAAGGGAAGCGCCUGUGACCAGACUCGCGCCCGGCGUAUCAUCCGGCGUUCUCGCCGGUGCACUACGCCGGGCUCGGGCCAGCAUCGGUUCUGGUGGGGGGAUAAAGGCGGCGGGGAUGUGGCUCCCCCGGGAGUGUUAUAGCCCGCCGCUCAAUGCCCUCGCCGGGACCGAGGACCGCGCAUUGCAAGGAUGCUGGCGUAAUGGUCACCAGCGACCCGUCUUGAAACACGGACCAAGGAGUCAAGCAUUAGGGCGAGUGUUUGGGUGUAAAACCCGCACGCGAAAUGAAAGUGAACGUAGGUGGGAGCCUCGGCGCACCAUCGACCGAUCCUGAUGUCUUC